UACGUAGGGUGCAAGCGUUGUCCGGAAUUAUUGGGCGUAAAGAGCUCGUAGGCGGUCUGUCGCGUCUGCUGUGAAAACUCGGGGCUUAACCCCGGGCCUGCAGUGGGUACGGGCAGACUAGAGUGCGGUAGGGGAGAGCUGGAAUUCCUGGUGUAGCGGUGAAAUGCGCAGAUAUCAGGAGGAACACCGGUGGCGAAGGCGGGUCUCUGGGCCGUAACUGACGCUGAGGAGCGAAAGCGUGGGGAGCGAACAGG
rnacentral:rRNA from 1 species